CCUACGGGAGGCAGCAGUGGGGAAUCUUGUGCAAUGGACGAAAGUCUGACACAGCCACGCCGCGUGCGGGAAGAAGGCCUUCGGGUUGUAAACCGCUUUCAGCAGGAACGAAAAUGACGGUACCUGCAGAAGAAGAUGCGGCCAACUACGUGCCAGCAGCCGCGGUGAUACGUAGGCAUCAAGCGUUGUCCGGAUUUAUUGGGCGUAAAGAGCUCGUAGGCGGUUCAGCAAGUCGGGUGUGAAAACUCUGGGCUUAACCCAGAGCCUGCACUCGAAACUGCUGUGACUAGAGUUCGGUAGGGGAGCAGGGAAUUCCUAGUGUAGCGGUGAAAUGCGCAGAUAUUAGGAGGAACACCAAUGGCGAAGGCACUGCUCUGGGCCGAUACUGACGCUGAGGAGCGAGAGCGUGGGUAGCAAACAGGAUUAGAUACCCUGGUAGUCCACGCCGUAAACGAUGGGCACUAGGUGUGGGUCUCUAACCAACGAGAUCUGCGCCGUCGCUAACGCAUUAAGUGCCCGCCUGGGGAGUACGGUCGCGAAGACUUAAACUCAAAGGAAUUGACGG
rnacentral:rRNA from 1 species